rnacentral:rRNA from 1 species
GCCCUUCGGGGGAAAGAUUUAUCGGAGAUGGAUGAGCCCGCGUUAGAUUAGCUAGUUGGUGGGGUAAUGGCCUACCAAGGCGACGAUCUAUAGCUGGUCUGAGAGGAUGAUCAGCCACACUGGGACUGAGACACGGCCCAGACUCCUACGGGAGGCAGCAGUGGGGAAUCUUGGACAAUGGGCGCAAGCCUGAUCCAGCCAUGCCGCGUGAGUGAUGAAGGCCCUAGGGUUGUAAAGCUCUUUCAACGGUGAAGAUAAUGACGGUAACCGUAGAAGAAGCCCCGGCUAACUUCGUGCCAGCAGCCGCGGUAAUACGAAGGGGGCUAGCGUUGUUCGGAAUUACUGGGCGUAAAGCGCACGUAGGCGGAUCGUUAAGUGAGGGGUGAAAUCCCAGGGCUCAACCCUGGAACUGCCUUUCAUACUGGCGAUCUUGAGUUCGAGAGAGGUGAGUGGAAUUCCGAGUGUAGAGGUGAAAUUCGUAGAUAUUCGGAGGAACACCAGUG